rnacentral:piRNA from 1 species
UGAUCCAGAGCCCUCCGCACAGAUACCUGU